rnacentral:tRNA from 1 species
UGGGUUGUGGCUCAGCGGUGGACCGCUCGUCUCACACGUGAGAGACCUGGGUUCGAUCCUCAGCACCACAU